AUCAGAUUCUAUUAGGUUGUCCGAAAAGUUUCUUUCGUUUCAUGAGGAAAUAAUAGACGCACAACGUUUUUUGUUUUAUAUUAUUUUGUCCAAUUACGUACGAUCCAUUUCGUUCCAUUGAGAUAAACAUCGCGACAUUUCACAAACUUUGUUUCACGUUUGUAUGAAGGUGCAUUGU